rnacentral:lncRNA from 1 species
ACAUUUCACAGAUGGCACAGAGUGGGGAAGUCAGUGACCCAAGGUGGCAAGGCCAGCUCUUGCUGAUGGUGAGGAGCCUCAUUAUCUUAAGACAACACACAGUGGAGAUGUGCUUUACGUAAUUGGCCUGCCCUGUGAAAACCCCUGGCUGUUUUUUCAGGAUAAGGAGACUGAAGCAUCUAGAGUUGGAGUAAUUUCCACAAGAUCACAGGAGCUGAAACCACAGGAAGAGGCCAAUAUGGACUUCUCUACUACUUUAUUUCCCCUGAGCCUGGUCAGCUUCUUCCAAGGAGAUUACUGGGAGGAAGCUUCUAGGAUUUCUGGGACAUUGGAUUCCCUGCUGGUUUCCCCACCUGAUUAUUGAAAUUGAUUUCUGGAGUUCAGGAAAAAGCAAGUCAUCAUAUAUCAACCUAUUAUGUGUGUUAGGCUGUUUGCAUUAUCACAUUUAAUCCAUUUGACGCUGUGAAGGAGCAGGUAGUGUUAUCUGACUCAAGUCUGUCCUUCAAUUAAUCUCACCACCUCCAGGAUUCCUUUAUGCUCUUUGUCAAGAACUCUGGUAGAGCAAAGAAAAUGGGGAUAGUUUGUCACGUUCAAAAAUCGUAUUGACCAAGACUAUCCUCUCUCUCUCUCUCUUUUUUUUGAGACAGAGUCUCACUCUGUCACCAGGCUGGAGUGCAGUGGUGUAAUCUCAGCUCACUGCAACCUCCGCCUCCUGGGUUCAAGUGAUUCUCCUGCCUCAGCCUUCCGAGUAGCUGGGACUACAGGUGCAUGCCACCAUGCCCAGCUAAUUUUUGUAUUUUUAGUAGAAUCAGGGUUUCACCAUGUUGGCCAGGAUGGUCUCGAUCUCCUGACCUCGUGAUCUGCCCGCCUUGGCCUCCCAAAGUGCUGGGACUACAGGCAUGAGCCACUGUGCCUGGCUGAUAAUCCUCUUUUAAGAAGAAGGGGUAUAUAUUUACCUAGGGAAUUCCCUAGAGGAGAAGAGGCAGAAAGGCAUAAAAGGAGUAUAGUAAACUGAAAUCAAGACAUCUAAAUCUAAGACCUGGCUCCAUUACUGUACCCCUUUGGAACUUUGGGUAAAUUCUUAAUUCUUUCUGGGUCUCAAUUUUCUCUUUUAAUAAAACAAAGAUUUGGAGU